rnacentral:rRNA from 1 species
CACGUAGGGGGCGAGCGUUGUCCGGAUUUAUUGGGCGUAAAGAGCUCGUAGGCGGCUCGGUAAGUCAGGUGUGAAAACUCUAGGCUCAACCUAGAGACGCCACCUGAUACUGCCGUGGCUAGAGUCCGGUAGGGGAGCAUGGAAUUCCUGGUGUAGCGGUGAAAUGCGCAGAUAUCAGGAGGAACACCGAUGGCGAAGGCAGGCUUCUGGGUGCCACCUGACACUGCUAGGACGAAAGCGUGGGGAGCGAAUGGG